rnacentral:misc_RNA from 1 species
AGCAGCCGCGGUAAUUCCAGCUCCAAUAGCGUAUAUUAAAGUUGUUGCAGUUAAAAAGCUCGUAGUUGAAUUUCGGGAUCAAUGCGUCGGUCGUGCCUUCGGUACGUACUAGCGUCAUUGAUUCCUCCCUUCUGAAGAACCGUGAUGUCAUUAAUUUGGUGUUACGGGGAAUCAGGACUGUUACCUUGAAAAAAUUAGAGUGUUUAAAGCAGGCUAACGCUUGAAUACAUUAGCAUGGAAUAAUGAAAUAGGACGUUCGAACCUAUUUUGUUGGUUUCUAGGAUCGACGUAAUGAUUAAUAGGGAUAGUUGGGGGCAUUAGUAUUCAAUUGUCAGAGGUGAAAUUCUUGGAUUUAUUGAAGACUAACUACUGCGAAAGCAUUUGCCAAGGAUGUUUUCAUUAAUCAAGAACGAAAGUUAGGGGAUCGAAGACGAUCAGAUACCGUCGUAGUCUUAACCAUAAACUAUGCCGACUAGGGAUCGGAUGAUGUUAAUUUUUUAAUGUACUCAUUCGGCGCCUU